UGAGGGAAUAUUGGGUCAAUGGACGGAAGUCUGAACCAGCCAAGUAGCGUGCAGGAUGACGGCCCUAUGGGUUGUAAACUGCUUUUAUAUGGGGAUAAAGUGGGCCACGUGUGGCUUAUUGCAGGUACCAUAUGAAUAAGGACCGGCUAAUUCCGUGCCAGCAGCCGCGGUAAUACGGAAGGUCCGGGCGUUAUCCGGAUUUAUUGGGUUUAAAGGGAGCGUAGGCCGUCUGUUAAGCGUGUUGUGAAAUGUCGGGGCUCAACCUGGGCAUUGCAGCGCGAACUGGCAGACUUGAGUGCGCGGGAAGUAGGCGGAAUUCGUCGUGUAGCGGUGAAAUGCUUAGAUAUCACGAAGAACUCCGAUUGCGAAGGCAGCUGGCGAGAGCACAACUGACGCUGAAGCUCGAAAGUGCGGGUAUCGAACAGGAUUAGAUACCCUGGUAGU
rnacentral:rRNA from 1 species